rnacentral:rRNA from 1 species
CAGCAGCCGCGGUAAUACCGGCGGCCCGAGUGGCGGUCACUAUUAUUGGGCUUAAAGCGUCCGUAGCCGGGUUGGGAAGUCCUCCGGGAAAUCUGGCCGCUUAAAGGUCAGAAUGCCGGAGGAUACUCCCAGCCUAGGGAGCGGGGGAGGCCGAGGGUAUUCCCGGAGUAGGGGGGAAAUCCUAUAAUCCCGGGAGGACCACCUGUGGCGAAGGCGCUCGGCUGGAACGCGUCCGACGGUGAGGGACGAAGGCCAGGGGAGCAAACCGGAUUAGAUACCCGGGUAGUCCUGGCUGUAAACGAUGCGGACUUUGUGUCGGACAAGCUAUGAGCUUGUCCGGUGCCGGAGGGAAACCGUUAAGUCCGCCGCCUGGGGAGUACGGCCGCAAGGCUGAAACUUAAAGGAAUUGGCGGG